rnacentral:lncRNA from 1 species
UUCUAUCUUGUAUAGAAAAACAUUACUGAAAAAGAAGAAAUUAAAAUCAGUGUACAGAAAGCAUGCAUGUUAAACCAAGUGUUCACUAUAUGUCAAGUACAAUCACUCCAACAUUAGAGUCUUAAAAUUCGAUUAACAACAACAAAUUUUAUAACAACAAACAACAAAUAUUUUAUGUUGCUUUUUAACCAAAACAUCAAAGAUUUUUCUGCAUAAUUUAC